rnacentral:tRNA from 2 species
UCAUUAAGAAGCUAUGAAUCAGCAUUAGCCUUUUAAGCUAAAGAAAGAGGGACCCCCCCCCUCCUUAAUGAU